rnacentral:rRNA from 1 species
UACGUAGGAGGCGAGCGUUGUCCGGAGUCACUGGGCGUAAAGGGCGCGCAGGCGGUUGCGAUGGCCAUCACGUGAAAGCCCCCGGCUCAACCGGGUGGUUGCGGGUGGGACCGCGUGACUGGAGGGUGCUAGGGGCCAGUGGAAUUCCCGGUGUAGUGGUGAAAUGCGUAGAUACCGGGAGGAACACCCGCAGCGAAGGCGGCUGGCUGGGGCAUUCCUGACGCUGAGGCGCGAAGGCUCGGGGAGCGAACGGG